ensembl:snoRNA small nucleolar RNA SNORA11
GGGGUGUGCUCAGAACAGGGGCCCUGAGGAAUGGUUUCUCUGCGUACAACACACCCACAGAAAUCCAGGUUCAUUGUGACAAGGGGCACACAACUUGUGGCCUUCCUUGAACAAAUGCCCUACACAU